ACUGUUUAUACUGUUUUAAUUUUUCGAUAAGUGUCAUUCUUUGAGAUUGAUAUAACGGACAUUGCCAAAGAACAUGAUUUAGGUCUUGUAAGAUAUGGUUACAAUUGCAAUUAGCUUGAUUCGUAAUCCCUACACGCGCCAAUGAUGCCGCAAGAUUAUAAUGGUCAGCUCUACACCUAUUAAUGGGGAAGCUAAUUUAGAGUAUAGAGCUAUAUCAUCGGCGAAUUGUGAUAUAACCAUAUGUUUAGGAAGGUUUGAUGCAAUCUGAGCCACAUAAAGCGUAUAAAGAAGAGGACUUAAUACUCCACCCUGAGGAACGCCUUUAGAAACUAUCCUAAUAUCAUUUUCUGUAAAGCUAGUGCAGAUAAAUCUUUCAUAAGUGAUAAAUUUGAUGAAGCAAAUGAAGUUCUUAGAACAACCAAUUGAAGCUAAUUUAGCAAUCAGUAUAUCGCAUAACACGUUGUUAAAGGCACCCUGUACAUCUAGGAACGCAGCAAGGGUGUCCUUUUUGUUUUUAAAUCCAUUUUCCACAUACAAAGUUAAGUUGACCAGAUUAUCGAUACAUGACUGUCCUUUAUGAAAGCCGGUUUGAGUUUUAGGCAACAGAUUAUGAUGUUCACAUUACCACUGCAAACGAUUUUUAAGAAGGGUUUCGAAGAGUUUACAGGCACACGAUGUGAGCGAAAUUGGGCGGACUUUAAUGCUAUCUGCCUUUUUUAUAAAAUGGACAUAUGAAAGUUUCCAGUCUGAUGGGAACUCAUUUUUAACAAACAUUUCAUUAAAUAUGUCCAACAGAAUCAAUUUAUACUUUAUCAGCAAAGUGUGAAGAAUUAGAUAGGCAAUGCCAUCUGACGCUGAGGCUGAUUUGCUAUUUCUCAAGUCUAAAGCAAGGUUAAAUUCUAAUAAAUCGAAAGGAGCAUCGAGAAAAGCGUUACUUUUACAUACAGGUGUAUAAUUUGGGUCCGAAGGCACGCAUGGAGGACUUAUUUUGUUAAGUGAUAUAUUUAUUUCAUUUUCAAUUUGUAGGUUUUUAGUAACAUGUGUCGGUUGAGUAUUGAUCCAUUUAUUUUUGAAAAUCUUGCAUUUGUUCCAAGUGUACUUUGUGUUAAUUCGGAAAUUAAUAGUUUCUGCAAAUUUUUUAAAACAUGUUCUUUUUUUUUUUUAAAAAGUUUUUUUCAAUAAAGCAACUGUUCUUUUAUAAUUUAUUAAGUCCUCCAAAUUAUGCGUACGUUCCCAUAAUUUGAAUGCCUCUUUUCUUUGUUCUUUAAUUUUGUCGCAUUCGGAGUCCCAUCAUGGAACUGGAUUUCUAUGGUUAGAAUUAUUAACAUUUUUGUUCUUUUUAGGGGUAUUUUCUUUUACAGCACGCGUUAUGGUUUCCAUUAACGUUUUAUAUUUUUCAUGCAGUGAAGCCUGAACAAAUUCUGAAGCGUAGAAUUGAUCAAAUGCACUAUCAAGGGCUUGUGCAACACCAUCCCAGUUUGUUCGUACUGAAUAUAAUUUAAACGAUUUUCUGUGAUAUAUAUGUUUUUCUACGUUUAAGUUAAUAUAUAUUGGAAAGUGGUCAGAACCCCAGGUUUUAUCGUGUGUUGUAACUAUUAUUUUAUCUGCAAAAGUGAUUGAAGACAGUAUAAGAUCGAGAUUAGAUGUUUUAUUUCUAUAUAGAUCUAUAUGGGAGAAAGAAUCGGUAUUAUGUAAAAAAACAUCGCAAUUCUCAAUAGACUGAAGUAAUCUUUCUCCAUUUGGAUCAUUUUGAGAGCAAUUCCAUGCUGUAUGAUGCGCAUUAAAGUCACCCACAAAUAUGCAAUUUUUGUUAGAUAGUCUGGUGUUAUUGACAAUCUGGUCCCAUUGUGUUUCAGAAAGAUUGAAACCUGGAGUUCUAUAGCAAAUAAUCAAAUUAAAAGAAGGACUAACAUUGUUAACAUUUCUGCCACAUAUCUCGACUGUAGAGUCAGGAGAGCUCAAGCUAGUGAACUCUGUACAUGCUAGAUUUUUGCUAAUAAAAAGUAUAAUACCUCCC